rnacentral:rRNA from 1 species
UACGAAGGGUGCAAACGUUGCUCGGAAUCAUUGGGCGUAAAGCGCACGUAGGCGGCCUGAUAAGUCGGAUGUGAAAUCCCUCGGCUCAACCGAGGACGUGCAUUCGAAACUGUCAGACUCGAGUAUGGAAGAGGGUCGCGGAAUUCCCGGUGUAGAGGUGAAAUUCGUAGAUAUCGGGAGGAAUACCAGUGGCGAAGGCGCUGACCUGGACGAAGAUUGACGCUGAGGUGCGAAAGCGUGGGGAGCAAACAGG